AAAAAAGGAGAACAUAUGCCCUCCCUAAGANU
rnacentral:tRNA from 1 species